UGUUCUUUACAUAGCUGCUAAUUUGUUGAACAAAAAAUUUACAGCUUUGUGCAGAUUACCAAAGCUAUCUAACUUAAUGAUCCAAUCCCCAAUUUCGAUUUUAAUUGCAAUAAAACUACAAAAACAAAAGCAAUUUCUACUAGUAUGGAAAAUUCCCACAAAACUUCGGCUUUGCAAAUAAUACUACUGAUAAAAAAAAUAUAACAAACAGGGACAUAAGUUGACGAUAGCUCCAAGGUCAGACAAGUCCCUGUAAAGAAACUAAUAAGAACAUCAACAUGAUUCCUGGUCCCACGGUCCAAUCCAAGACCAGAACACACGAAAGCUAUAGACUUACCACACUGGCCUUGAUCCUUGACA
rnacentral:misc_RNA from 1 species